UCAAACUUGGUCAUUUAGAGGAAGUAAAAGUCGUAACAAGGUUUCCGUAGGUGAACCUGCGGAAGGAUCAUUCAUGUAAAGAUGAGUAGGUUGUUGCUGGGCUCUUGAGUCAUGUGCACGCCUCUCGACUUCACAUCCAACCCCUGUGCACUUUUGUUAGAUCAGGUUGCAACGACUCAUCUGGGUUGUUGUAUGUCUGGUUUGACUUUUCACAAACUUUAUUAAUUGAAGCAUGAUUGUAUUAGUCUUCUUUGAAGAUAAAAAAUUAUACAACUUUCAACAACGGAUCUCUUGGCUCUCGCAUCGAUGAAGAACGCAGC
rnacentral:misc_RNA from 1 species